CCCUUAGAUGUUCUGGGCUGCACGCGCGCUACACUGACAUGUCCAGCGAGCUCCCAACCUGCUCGGCAAAGAAUGGGUACCCUUUUUAACGCAUGUCGUGAUGGGGAUAGAUUAUUGCAAUUGUUGAUCUUGAACGAGGAAUUCCUAGUAAGUGCAAGUCAUUAGCUUGUGCUGAAUACGUCCCUGCCCUUUGUACACACCGCCCGUCGCUCCUACCGAUUGAAUGCUCAGGUGAGCCAUUCGGACUUUCAUCAUGCUGGUUUCCAGUUUUGAUGAAGGAAAGUCUUGCGAACCUUAUCAUUUAGAGGAAGGAGAAGUCGUAACA
rnacentral:rRNA from 1 species